GUAUUGUCCGCAUAUAAAAAGGUCUUAAAUAUAUUCUGGUAGGCAGUUUUGUCUUACAAAGUCAAGAGUUAAGAGAAAAAUAAACAUGAGCAAGUUCACGAUUGUUCUCCUGCUGAUUGCCCUGGUCACCAUGACCUUGGCGAGACCCCAAGAUGACGGAAGCAAAGUGGAUAUCGUCGAUGGAGACCGCCAAGUUGACUUCGUUGACAGCGACCCACAACAAGUGCACAUCGUCGACCCUGUUGAUUUUAUUCAACCCCGGAAUGGAGGGAGCAAGUGAUGAUAGUAAAUAAGUUUUCAAUCAACAUUAAGAUGUUAAUAUUAUAAUUUAGCAGUAAAUUCGUACAGUAUAAGUGCAGAAGACAGUUCCAGUUACAUACAAUUAUUAUGUAAUAUACAUAUAUAUUUCUUAACAUAA